AAAAAAAAAAAAAAAAAACAAUAUGCUACAGGAGAAAUCUAAACUACUUCGGGUAACUAAAGCAGAAAGACAUUAAAAAAAAAAAGACAUAAAUUAACAAAUCUUUCCAAUGUCUGCUUAGCCAUUCGGCAAGAAAGCUUUCAAAUCACUUUUCCCAAAUCAUCUGGAAGAAAAAUUAUAAUUGAGUUUCAAUAUCAGGUUGUAUUAUUUAAAAGACUUUAAAGUUUUCCAUAAGAUGUAAAAAAUUAUCCCAUCUACAGUGGAAAUAUAUUGUUUCAGCAGGUUAGUUACACCAAUGGUUCUUGAACUUUGGGUCUUAUUUCAGCAACGUCUAGGAACUUCAAUUUGUACCACAAAAACCCCUAAACUUUGAGGAAUAUUGCAAAAACAAUAACCACCCUAAAGCCAAAAUCCGGAAUCUGGACAAAUCAUUCUCGGAAAUUUGAUGUGGCAUCAAAGAUUUCUCAUUCAUUUUUUCACUGACAAAUAGGACCCACUUGUUUGACUGUGCAUUCUCAUCCUCUCUAUAUCUUCACUUGAAGCACCCAUACUCUACUACUACUACUACUACUACUACUACUA
rnacentral:misc_RNA from 1 species